rnacentral:piRNA from 1 species
UUCAAGGUGCUGAUAUUCUUGUUUGUAGAUU